GCUGAAGUGGCGUAGCUGGUAGCGCAAUUGAUUCGUAAUCAAUAGGUCGUGGGUUCGAAUCCCAUCUUCAGCACCA
rnacentral:tRNA from 1 species